rnacentral:rRNA from 1 species
AACGAACGCUGGCGGCAGGCUUAACACAUGCAAGUCGAGCGAGACCUUCGGGUCUAGCGGCGGACGGGUGAGUAACGCGUGGGAACGUGCCCUUCUCUACGGAAUAGCCCCGGGAAACUGGGAGUAAUACCGUAUACGCCCUUUGGGGGAAAGAUUUAUCGGAGAAGGAUCGGCCCGCGUUGUAUUAGGUAGUUGGUGGGGUAAUGGCCCACCAAGCCGACGCUCCAUAGCUGGUUUGAGAGGAUGAUCAGCCACACUGGGACUGAGACACGGCCCAGACUCCUACGGGAGGCAGCAGUGGGGAAUCUUAGACAAUGGGGGCAACCCUGAUCUAGCCAUGCCGCGUGAGUGAUGAAGGCCUUAGGGUUGUAAAGCUCUUUCAGCUGGGAAGAUAAUGACGGUACCAGCAGAAGAAGCCCCGGCUAACUCCGUG